GAUAAACGCUGGCGGCGUGCCUAACACAUGCAAGUCGAACGAAGCUCUCUGAAUUGAGUUUUCGGACAAGAGGAAGAGAUGACUUAGUGGCGGACGGAUGAGUAAUGCGUGAGCAACCUGCCUUUCAGAGGGGGACAACAGUUGGAAACGACUGCUAAUACCGCAUAAUGUAUCUUGAUGGCAUCAUCGAAAUACCAAAGAUUAUAUCGCUGAAAGAUGGGCUCACGUCUGAUUAGCUAGUUGGUGAGGUAACGGCUCACCAAGGCUGCGAUCAGUAGCCGGACUGAGAGGUCGAACGGCCACAUUGGGACUGAGAUACGGCCCAGACUCCUACGGGAGGCAGCAGUGGGGAAUAUUGGGCAAUGGGCGCAAGCCUGACCCAGCAACGCCGCGUGAAGGAAGAAGGCUUUCGGGUUGUAAACUUCUUUUGGCAGGGACGAGACAAAUGACGGUACCUGCAGAAUAAGCACCGGCUAACUACGUGCCAGCAGCCGCAGUAA
rnacentral:rRNA from 1 species